GGAUGCUGACAGGAUUAUUCGUUCUAUCCAGGAUUUGUUCACUUCCUGGGGGCAGGUCCAAAUGCCUCGCCCUGCUCCAUCUGAUCGUCCUGCUGCUUCUUCAGAAGAGGACUUGAAAUUCUUGAAGGAGUUGGUAUUUGAAUACGUGUCCUUUAUGGACAUGGACAUUGGAAGGGCUAGUGCUGCCAGACACAAGGAUGAACUUGAGCGCUUGAGUGCGAAGUUAGAGCAAGCACUGACGCUUCCGUCGCUCAAUCUUUCUGCCGACUUUAAAGCGACGUUGAAGGUCAUUCACUCUGAGGUCCUUACUAUGCUGGCCAAGAAUGCUGAACUAAAGGCCAAGCGUACUCAAUAUCUUCGAGCCGUAGCUGAGAAAGAGUCUCUGCGCUUGGAGAUCAACAAGGCUAAGGACGAGUUAAAAGAAAUCUCUUCCGAAGUCAUGAUUGAAGACUCCUUGAUGGUUAACUUGGCUGCUCAGAUGAGGGAACUUCAAGCCAAAAUGGACGAUUGCAGGGCGAGGAUGGCCGCUAAAAAGCGCAACGCCUCUCAGGGAAUUGAGCGAACUAAAUCCUUGGUCGAACAGUACAAGAAGCUGGAGGUUGAUGAUGAUGACGUUGCGGCUGAAUUGAACAUCACUACCUCCCGACAGAACGAGGAUUGGGAAAAACUUAGGGAACGAAUUCGUUCCUUAUGGGGUAGAAUGUAAUUAAGACAUACGAUGUCUUUUCUAUUUUGUAAUUUUGUUCCUUAUUAAUGAACAUUAAUUUCUUGUGCAUUUAUUUGAUGUUUAUUUUCUAAUCAUCAAUUCUUUAAGCAUUUAACUGCUUUGCAUUAAGAAUUUUGUCCAUUCCCUUUUGAUAUUCCCACUACUGUUCCCAAGACUUAGGGCCAUUUAAUUCCGUCUAUUAGNAGUGCGAAAUUAGAGCAAGCACUGACGCUUCCGUCGCUCAAUCUUUCUGCCGACUUUAAAGCGACGUUGAAGGUCAUUCACUCCGAGGUCCUUACUAUGCUGGCCAAGAAUGCUGAACUAAAGGCCAAGCGUACUCAAUAUCUUCGAGCCGUAGCCGAGAAAGAGUCUCUGUGCUUGGAGAUCAACAAGGCUAAGGACGAGUUGCAAGAAAUCUCUUCCGAAGUCAUGAUUGAAGACUCCUUGAUGGUUAACUUGGCUGCUCAGAUGAGGGAACUUCAAGCCAAAAUGGACGAUUGCAGAGCGAGGAUGGCCGCUAAAAAGCGCAACGCCUCUCAGGGAAUUGAGCGAACCAAAUCCUUGGUCGAACAGUAUAAGAAGCUGGAGGUUGAUGAUGAUGACGUUGCGGCUGAAUUGAACAUCACUUCCUCCCGACAGAACGAGGAUUGGGAAAAACUUAGGGAACGAAUUCGUUCCUUAUGGGGUAGUUUGUAAUUAAGACACACGAUGUCUUUUCUUUUUUGUACUUUUGUCCCUUAUUAAUGGACAUUAAUUUCUUGUGCAUUUAUUUGAUGUUUAUUUUCUAAUCAUCAAUUCUUCAAGCAUUUAACUGCUUUGCAUUAAGAAUUUUGUCCGUUCCCUUUUGAUAUUCCCAUUACUGUUCCCGAGACUUAGGGCCAUUUAAUUCCGUCUAUUAGACAGAAAUGUGGCUGUUCAUAUUCUGUCUCUUCAUCUUCACCCCCUUAUAAAUGUUUAACAUUUUUCAUCCUCUAUCUUCAUCUCCCCAUUUUCUUAUUCGAAACCAAUUUGCUGCCAUUUCUUGGCAUUCUGACGAUCUAUCUGAUCCGAAAAUGGACUGUUUAGUCCGUCCGCCUUAUAUUUACUUUGAUGUCACCUUUGGUAUGGGAGGUAUAGGAAAUGUUCUCUGGCCCGCAGCGAAGUUUUUUCCUGCAAAGUUCUUCCCAUCGUCUCUUUGUUCUUCAUAAGGAGUCAAUGAUGGAAGGCAAUUUUUGGGCUGCUCAUGGGCCAUUUUGCUUGCUGAGAGUGCUUCUCAGCUUGCUUGCUGAGAGUGUUU
rnacentral:lncRNA from 1 species